rnacentral:rRNA from 1 species
AUGAACGCUAGCUACAGGCUUAACACAUGCAAGUCGAGGGGCAGCAUGAACUUAGCUUGCUAAGUUUGAUGGCGACCGGCGCACGGGUGAGUAACACGUAUCCAACCUGCCGAUGACUCGGGGAUAGCCUUUCGAAAGAAAGAUUAAUACCCGAUGGCAUAGUUCUUCCGCAUGGUAGAACUAUUAAAGAAUUUCGGUCAUCGAUGGGGAUGCGUUCCAUUAGGUUGUUGGCGGGGUAACGGCCCACCAAGCCUUCGAUGGAUAGGGGUUCUGAGAGGAAGGUCCCCCACAUUGGAACUGAGACACGGUCCAAACUCCUACGGGAGGCAGCAGUGAGGAAUAUUGGUCAAUGGACGAGAGUCUGAACCAGCCAAGUAGCGUGAAGGAUGACUGCCCUAUGGGUUGUAAACUUCUUUUAUACGGGAAUAAAGUGAGGCACGUGUGCCUUUUUGUAUGUACCGUAUGAAUAAGGAUCGGCUAACUCCGUGCCAGCAGCCGCGGUAAUACGGAGGAUCCGAGCGUUAUCCGGAUUUAUUGGGUUUAAAGGGAGCGUAGGCGGACGCUUAAGUCAGUUGUGAAAGUUUGCGGCUCAACCGUAAAAUUGCAGUUGAUACUGGGUGUCUUGAGUACAGUAGAGGCAGGCGGAAUUCGUGGUGUAGCGGUGAAAUGCUUAGAUAUCACGAAGAACUCCGAUUGCGAAGGCAGCUUGCUGGACUGUAACUGACGCUGAUGCUCGAAAGUGUGGGUAUCAAACAGGAUUAGAUACCCUGGUAGUCCACACAGUAAACGAUGAAUACUCGCUGUUUGCGAUAUACAGUAAGCGGCCAAGCGAAAGCGUUAAGUAUUCCACCUGGGGAGUACGUUCGCAAGAAUGAAACUCAAAGGAAUUGACGGGGGCCCGCACAAGCGGUGGAGUAUGUGGUUUAAUUCGACGCAACGCGAAGAACCUUACCUGAUCUUGACAUCCCUAUGAAUACAGGGUAAUGCCUGUAGUACUUCGGUACAUAGGAGACAGGUGGUGCAUGGUUGUCGUCAGCUCGUGCCGUGAGGUGUCGGCUUAAGUGCCAUAACGAGCGCAACCCUUAUCGAUAGUUACCAUCAGGUUAUGCUGGGGACUCUGUCGAGACUGCCGUCGUAAGAUGUGAGGAAGGUGGGGAUGACGUCAAAUCAUCAUGCCCUUUAUGACUUGGGCUACACACGUACUACAAUGGGUGUCAACAAAGAGAAGCGAACCCGCGAGGGAGAGCAAAGCUCAAAAACACACCCCCAGUUCAGAUCGCAGGCUGCAACCCGCCUGCGUGAAGUAGGAAUCGCUAGUAAUCGCGGGUCAGCAUACCGCGGUGAAUACGUUCCCGGGCCUUGUACACACCGCCCGUCACACCAUGGGAGUCAGUAACGCCCGAAGUCAGUGACCUAACCGCAAGGGAGGAGCUGCCGAAGGCGGGACCGAUGACUGGUGUG